rnacentral:rRNA from 1 species
CCAAUGGCGUAUAUUAAAGUUGUUGCAGUUAAAAAGCUCGUAGUUGAAUUUCGGGGUCAGCAGGUUGGUCGUGCCUCUGGUAUGCACUGGUUUUGCUGAUUCCUCCUUUCUGAAGAACUGUAAUGCCAUUAAUUUGGUGUUGCAGGGAAACAGGACUGUUACUUUGAAAAAAUUAGAGUGUUUAAAGCAGGCUAACGCUUGAAUACAUUAGCAUGGAAUAAUGAAAUAGGACGUUCGAUCCUAUUUUGUUGGUUUCUAGGAUUGACGUAAUGAUUAAUAAGGAUAGUUGGGGGCAUUAGUAUUCAAUUGUCAGAAGUGAAAUUCUUGGAUUUAUUGAAGACUAACUACUGCGAAAGCAUUUGCCAAGGAUGUUUUCAUUAAUCAAGAACGAAAGUUAGGGGAUCGAAGACGAACAGAUAACGUCGUAGUCUUAAACAUAAACUAUGCCGACUAGGGAUCGGAUGAUGUUAAUUUUUUAAUGACUCAUUCGGCGCCUUACG